UGAACCUGCGGAAGGAUCAUUACCGAGUUGAUUCGAGCUCCGGCUCGACUCUCCCACCCUUUGUGUACCUACCUCUGUUGCUUUGGCGGGCCCGCGGUUCGGCCUCGUGCCGUCCAGCACCCGCCAGAGGACCACAAAACUCCAGUCAGUGAACGUCUCAGUCUGAAAAACAAGUUAAUAAACUAAAACUUUCAACAACGGAUCUCUUGGUUCUGGCAUCGAUGAAGAACGCAGCGAAAUGCGAUAAGUAAUGUGAAUUGCAGAAUUCAGUGAAUCAUCGAAUCUUUGAACGCACAUUGCGCCCCUUGGUAUUCCGGGGGGCAUGCCUGUUCGAGCGUCAUUUCAACCCUCAAGCUCUGCUUGGUAUUGGGCUCCGUCCUCAGGGACGCGCCUCAAAGACCUCGGCGGUGGCGUCUUGCCUCAAGCGUAGUAGAAAACACCUCGCUUUGGAGCGCACGGCGUCGCCCGCCGGACGAACCUUUGAAUUUUUCUCAAGGUUGACCUCGGAUCAGGUAGGG
rnacentral:rRNA from 1 species